rnacentral:rRNA from 1 species
AGAGUUUGAUCCUGGCUCAGAACGAACGCUGGCGGCAGGCUUAACACAUGCAAGUCGAACGCACCUUCGGGUGAGUGGCAGACGGGUGAGUAACGCGUGGGAACGUGCCCUUCAGUUCGGAAUAACCCAGGGAAACUUGGGCUAAUACCGGAUACGUGCGAGAGCAGAAAGAUUUAUCGCUGAAGGAUCGGCCCGCGUCUGAUUAGCUAGUUGGUGGGGUAAUGGCCCACCAAGGCGACGAUCAGUAGCUGGUCUGAGAGGAUGAUCAGCCACAUUGGGACUGAGACACGGCCCAAACUCCUACGGGAGGCAGCAGUGGGGAAUAUUGGACAAUGGGCGCAAGCCUGAUCCAGCCAUGCCGCGUGAGUGAUGAAGGCCUUAGGGUUGUAAAGCUCUUUCGGCGGGGACGAUAAUGACGGUACCCGCAGAAGAAGCCCCGGCUAACUUCGUGCCAGCAGCCGCGGUAAUACGAAGGGGGCUAGCGUUGUUCGGAAUCACUGGGCGUAAAGGGCGCGUAGGCGGCUUGAUAAGUCGGGGGUGAAAGCCUGUGGCUCAACCACAGAAUUGCCUUCGAUACUGUCUGGCUUGAGACCGGAAGAGGUAAGUGGAACUGCGAGUGUAGAGGUGAAAUUCGUAGAUAUUCGCAAGAACACCAGUGGCGAAGGCGGCUUACUGGUCCGGUUCUGNNGCUGAGGCGGAAAGCGUGGGGAGCAAACAGGAUUAGAUACCCUAGUAGUCC